rnacentral:tRNA from 1 species
AAGAGUAUAGUAUAAUGGUAGUAUCAUGAUCUCCAAAAUCAUUUGUGUUGGUUCAAUUCCAACUGCUCUUG